AGCUCCAAUAGCGUAUAUUAAAGUUGUUGCAGUUAAAAAGCUCGUAGUUGAACUUUGGGCCUGGGCGGGCGGUCUACCUAUGGUAAGUACUGUUGCGGCCGGGUCUUUUCCUUCUGGCUAGCUCUUUCGGGAGCGAACCAGGACGAUUACUUUGAGGAAAUUAGAGUGUUCAAAGCAGGCCUUUGCUCGGAUAUAUUAGCAUGGAAUAAUAGAAUAGGACGUUAUGGUUCUAUUUUGUUGGUUUCUAGGACCAUCGUAAUGAUUAAUAGGGACGGUCGGGGGCAUCAGUAUUCAGUUGUCAGAGGUGAAAUUCUUGGAUUAACUGAAGACUAACUACUGCGAAAGCAUUUGCCAAGGACGUUUUCA
rnacentral:rRNA from 2 species